AUGCUAAGAGAAUGGAAUUCCAGGGAAAAACUUUAUUUAAACUAAUAAUUAAAGUUUUUUUAAUUUGUGCAGAAACAAUUAUAUAAAUUAAGGACAAGAAGACCCUAUGAAUUUAUAAAACUUAUUUUUUUUUAUUAAUAUAACUAAUAAGUUUUAGCUGGGGCGGCAAGAAAAUAUAAAAAACUUUUCAUUAUUAAAAUGACCCAUUAUUAAUGAUUAAAUGAAAAAAUACUCUAGGGAUAACAGCGUUAUAUUUUUUGAUAGAUCAUAUUGACAAAAAAGUUUGCGACCUCGAUGUUGGAUUAGGAUACUUUUUUAAUGCAGAUAU
rnacentral:rRNA from 1 species